GCCGGUGCGCGGGGAAGCAGGCGCGCCACGGUCAGGUGCGGCGACGGUCGGCGCAGAGCUCAGCCCUCAACCACUCCCCCAGCUUGAUCUGCGAGGCGGCUCCCCACGUCUGACGCGUGGCAGCCGAAGCGGGUGUUACCCUGAUGGAGUCACAGAGUGGCACGGGGCACCCGGGGCAGAGAAUGAGGUCACAGAAGGAUGCCUCGAGUUUGGGAGGCCCCGGGGGCAGGCGGGAGUCAGACCAGGUCACCCGGCAGAGGAGGGACUCCCGGAUGCGCCAGGGCCCAGGGCUUCGUUGGAACUUUGGAGGCGGCGGAGGGGAGAGCAGGUGGCAGGUGUGUGAUGUCCUGCUUCCCAUGAUAAUGAUGUCACCGAGCUGGCAAAGGCGGGUCAACACAAGGGAGGCAAAGACGCUGACAACCUACAGGCAAACUGGGGAAAUGUUUGCAGCCCAGUGAAAGUGACCAGCCUCCCAGAGGCGAGGAAGGCUGGACUCUUACUCCAACACGACUGGUAUCCUUACAAGAAGAGACACAUACACAGAGAACACUAUGUGAGGGCACAGAGAUGCAGAAAAGAUGGCCAUUGGAGUCAUGUACCUACAGCCAAGGUCCCCAAGGAUCAUGGACAACCACUGGAAGCUGACAGGCAGGGAACGAUCGAAUUCUUCCCGAAAGCCUACCGCAAGGAGCCAGCCCCGCCAACACCUUGACUUUGGUCUUCGAGUUACCAGGGCUUUGCCUGCCUGCCCUUUUUGUGUUUAUCUUGUUAAGUACUGACAGGCUUAAAAUAUAGACCCCUAGAGGGCAAGAUUCAUAUCUAUAUGGAGUGUGCUGCAGAACAUACACUCAUGCCUCAUAUUCUUCUGCACAAAUUAUUUUUGACGAUUUUGUUUGUUUGCUUGCUUUUUGGUGCUUUCAGACACCCUGUGCCUUUCUGACUUUAUAAUCUGAGUAACUUCAGCUACGUGACUCCUGGUUUUUUUUUUUUGCCACUGCGGUCUCAGAGCUCCAAAAUUUGGAUCGGAGACAUGGAAACACCUUUGGAAAACCUUUAUGUGAAACAGGAGUGACUUGUCCUCUGCACCCUGACACUUAAAUUAUCCUGACAUACAAUUUUGUGCGUAUGAGACAGUUGGAAGGGACGGCUCUAAUUUCCGUAACGAACACAGGAAGCACAAUUCAAAGUUUAUGCUCUGGCUAUUGGGAGAGAUGGAAGCGAACGAGAGCUGGGGAGCCAGAACACGCAGCGGUAGGCUUCCACCGUGUCGUGAGGACGGAAGGGAAUCCUAAUGGGAAAGUGCCUAGUGUGUCCGGCCUAGAGGCGAUGCUCCCGAAGUGAUCGCUCGUCCCAAGCCGUCUGCCAAGGCUUCACGGGUCCUGAAUUCUCCCCCAGCUCACGUGUGCUGAUCGACAGUGAAUGGGAAGCAGAGCACAGAGGAGUUGCCGCCCCAUCCGAAGAAAAAGUCCCGAAGCCCGCAUUUGCCACUACGCUUUCCGAGAAAGCGCUCGUCUCCCAUUGCUAAUGCUAGCCCCGUUUCCCCUUGAGCCCGUGAACGCAUCGGGAGCUGGCCCAGAGACCCUCCGAUUUGCGCGCAUCGCAACACGCUGCACGUUACAAUCAAG